UGACACAAACUUCUUUAACCAGAUGUAAGUACUCACGCCUAUGGAAGCCUUGCGUCUCAGUCUGUCCUGUAUAGGCAACACCGACAUGAUGCUGGGAUUUCGCCUGUGACCGGUGAAUACCAGCAGCCGCUAACGCGGCUCACAGAUCAAACGUCGGUGGCUCGGUGGGGCCGUGAUCCUCUCUUGAAGCUAUGCUCAAGAGGCGUCCGCCCCAACUGUUCCCCGAGUUCAGAUAUGACCGGCCUCAUCACGAAAAUGAUUGGGAACUGCCGCGUUCCGUAGGUGAACCUGCGGAAGGAUCAUUA
rnacentral:rRNA from 1 species